AGUGGAUUGGAGAGAGAAAAGACAUAAAUCUAGCUAACCUGAGCUCACCACUUAUCACAUGUCCUGAUCAAUACCGCUGCUUCCUAGGAAAUUAGUACAAACUCCCUUGAUCUAUGACAUAACCCCACUUACAUCACUUUUUUUUUUGGAUUUCCUUGAUUUGAUCUCAGUCCAGGUCUGAGGCUAGUCUUCCGGAUGCCAGGAAUCAUGUGGGACAAGAGGCAAACAUCUCCUGAGAUGCCAGGGAGCGCUAUUCUUAACCCAAUCAAAGAGGCAGCUGAGCUUUGUGAAGAGAGGAGCCACAAAGCUUCCCCAUUUGCUAACCUCAGCUGUCAUCCAAGUACUCACAGGAAAUUCGUGCUUCCGCUUCAUCCACAGUGAAGAAGAAUACCUCCUUAAGAUGAUGGGACUGAUGGUUACAGACACAAUACAUCUUCUAAGUAUGAGGGAAGGAAAUCUAUUUUUCAUACUUUUGAUCUGAAUUAAAGGAUGCUCAAGGCUGCCUGCGUAGAGCAGGAGGUGAUCCAUCAUCACCUUACAGAAACUGGCCUCCAUUAAGAGUUUUUGAUAGGUUAAGUGCCUCUCUCUCUCUUACAUCAUUACUAAUGACAUUCUCAUUAUUUUUCCCAAUUACUGUGUGUAUCUGCUCUGGUGAAACACUCCUUGAGGUAUCUGUCAUAAACGACUAGGACAAGGGAAAUAUGUCCUUUGAGAUAAGCAUUCAGACAUAAGUUUACUUGCACUUCCCCCCUUCCUUUUGGAAAGGCUCCUUUAUCUGCACAGACAGAAUUAUGAUUUUGUUUUUGCAUAAAAGACAGGAUGUAGUCUCUUAGAAGCGAAGUCAUGUUUUCAUUUCGAGCUAAAGGGUUUUCUUUAAUGAAUAAUUGCAUUCUAUACGAUACCAAAGAAAUCAAUCUGAGGAGCAGGGAGUCAAGUGAUGGGCCAGUGUAAGCCCUUGGUAUGGUUGCUAGCAAUAGGUCACUGUUCUGGUUCAAGAAAUCUUUUGU
rnacentral:lncRNA from 1 species